UCAUUCAAAUUUCUUCCCUAUCAACUUUCGAUGUUUGGGUCUUGUCCAAACAUGGUGGCAACGGGUAACGGAGGGUUAGGGCUCGACCCCGGAGAAGGAGCCUGAGAAACGGCUACUACAUCCAAGGAAGGCAGCAGGCGCGCAAAUUACCCAAUCCCGACACGGGGAGGUAGUGACAAUAAAUACUGAUACAGGGCUCUUUUGGGUCUUGUAAUCGGAAUGAGUACAAUUUAAAUCCCUUAACGAGGAACAAUUGGAGGGCAAGUCUGGUGCCAGCAGCCGCGGUAAUUCCAGCUCCAAUAGCGUAUAUUAAAGUUGUUGUGGUUAAAAAGCUCGUAGUUGAACCUUGGGCCUGGCUGGCCGGUCCGCCUCACCGCGUGCACUGGUCCGGACGGGCCUUUCCCUCUGCGGAACCCCAUGCCCUUCACUGGGUGUGGCGGGGAAACAGGACUUUUA
rnacentral:rRNA from 1 species